GUUUUCUGGCGACCGCGGCAGGACUCCGAAGGUGACUGGGGCGGUUCGCGUUCUGAUCCACUCCACGCCGGCACCGAGUGAUUCUCGGGGAGUCAUCGGCUCGUGCCCGACCCCCGCACCUGACGGACGACUGCAAAAGGGGAACCUUGCAGUGGAAUCGACCUAUGCCACUGGAGAAUCCGGUGCAUGACAUUCAACCAGGAGACCAAGUGUACGUGAAGAAUUGGUCCACCCACCCCUUGAAGGAGGCAUGGGACGGGCCCCGUCAAGUGAUCCUGACAACUUACACUGCAGUAAAGGUCGAAGGAAUCGACUCAUGGAUCCAUUACACCCGAGUCAAGAAAGUCCCUGUACAAUGGGAGACUCAGCUAGUCUCUCCAACACGGAUGAUCUUUCGCGGAAAGUAGCCUUUUUGAUUAUAUUGUUACUGGUAAUGACGAAACCAAUUCUUGUUAACGGUUCUAUUGUAGUUGCAGUUACCAAACCAGUGGAAAGGAUGGAUGUGAACCUGACCUAUGACCAGAAAACUGAAGUCCAGAAUGUGCAAGCAACCUGGAAGAAAGGUGCUGAUUAUCCAGAAGCAAAUAUUGUCACAGUUUGGGGAGUCAUCGAAAAGGAAACAAGACGCACCAGAAGAGUGAUAAAAGCCUUGGCAAGAACCAAUGAGAUACGCCUCAAUGAAAUACGCUGACCUCCUCUGAAGUAUGAAGAUGUCGUUGGGCAAGAUAAUCCAGCAUUUGAAAGAACCAACGAUAACUAAGAGUUGAGCAUUCUUGCAGAAGAUUGAAGAAUGCUCAAAAGGGGGGAAUUGUUGCCAUUUGAUUCAAUAAACUGUAUUAUUAAGAUAAUAGCAAACCAUAAUAGUUAGCAUUAGUUGACAUUAGUAGUAGUUAUGCUAAGGCUUGGUAGGCCGCAUGUAACCUGCAGAUGAACUGUAUAGCAGAUAUUGCAAUGUAAGCAGUGUAGCUAGGAGAUAAUCUAAAGAAUGCACCUCUUGGCAAAACCUAAAGGUCAAAGAGAUAAUCGUACCAAGUAGUGAAAGAAAUUAAGAAAUUGUGAUGAUGAAGAAAUCAUGUAGAAAACAUAU